GCAUGCGACAACGCUUUACUUUAUUUACGUUCGUUCACAUCUGUUCUUUUGUUCUUCUUGCUAAUCAAAAUUGUUUUGUAAAUUUUUAUAUUUAUUAUUCAACUACUCAGGAUUCUCGUCUCUCUUUGCAGGAUAUGUGAAGUAGUAGACCUUGAACAUUCUUCAAUUGUCUUCCAAAAAUCAAAAUGGAUCACCCAUGAAAUUGUUUCUAAUCAGAAACCUGCAUGGUGAAAUUGGUAAACAAAAAUCGUAAAAAUUCCUUAUGUGCCUAACUUGACGCCAAAGCACAACGAUGAAAAAGUACCAACAACUCCUUAUCUUGUCGCUGGGCAUCCUCUCAUUCAUUUCCUUCCUCAUCUACAAACAUGAAUACGACAGACUUCGAAAUGUCCUCUCAGUCAUGGAAGUAUUUGGGUCUCCGCCACCAAUAAAAGUUCAUGAACACCUACAAGUUGACGACAAAAUUGACAAACUACACAUUGCGGUUGCAGAUCAUCCCAAUGAAGCCCUUGAAAACAACGAGAUAAAAAACAGUGGCGAAGUUUUCGAUCCUCCCUCAGAAAACAAGAUAAAGCCGGUGCUAGAUUUGCCAAGGGAUGAUGCCAAACUUCCGUAGAAAAAGAUUUUCUACUGGACAAAGUCAGAAUCAGAAUAUCCUACGACAAAACUGGAAUAUUUAUAUUAUUUUUUAAUUAUUGCUUGUUCCUUAUGGUUGUGCUUGUUGUACAUACGUAUUGACAAUUGUAGUUUGUAGUAAAUUAAGAGUGUGGAUAAGUGCCUUAAUAAUCGCGUAAUAAAGAACAGGGAAUAAAUGUUGCUCGCACCGGCCCAUAGCUUGCUCGCACCGCUUAUGGACGGGUGCGAGCAAGAUUUAUUCCCUGAUAAAGAAUACA